rnacentral:rRNA from 1 species
CGAGCGAACAGACGAGGAGCUUGCUCUUCUGACGUUAGCGGCGGACGGGUGAGUAACACGUGGGUAACCUACCUAUAAGACUGGGAUAACUCCGGGAAACCGGGGCUAAUACCGGAUAACACAUGAAACCGCAUGGUUUCAUGAUGAAAGACGGUUUUGCUGUCACUUAUAGAUGGACCCGCGGCGUAUUAGCUAGUUGGUAAGGUAACGGCUUACCAAGGCAACGAUGCGUAGCCGACCUGAGAGGGUGAUCGGCCACACUGGAACUGAGACACGGUCCAGACUCCUACGGGAGGCAGCAGUAGGGAAUCUUCCGCAAUGGGCGAAAGCCUGACGGAGCAACGCCGCGUGAGUGAUGAAGGUCUUCGGAUCGUAAAACUCUGUUAUUAGGGAAGAACAAAUGUGUAAGUAACUAUGCACGUCUUGACGGUACCUAAUCAGAAAGCCACGGCUAACUACGUGCCAGCAGCCGCGGUAAUACGUAGGUGGCAAGCGUUAUCCGGAAUUAUUGGGCGUAAAGCGCGCGUAGGCGGUUUUUUAAGUCUGAUGUGAAAGCCCACGGCUCAACCGUGGAGGGUCAUUGGAAACUGGAAAACUUGAGUGCAGAAGAGGAAAGUGGAAUUCCAUGUGUAGCGGUGAAAUGCGCAGAGAUAUGGAGGAACACCAGUGGCGAAGGCGACUUUCUGGUCUGUAACUGACGCUGAUGUGCGAA